CUCAUCGAUGCCGACGGCGAGUGCGGCGGCGGCUCAUUUGAUCUAGCACCUUCGGUGUUCGAGUUGUAAUUUGAAGAUGGUACCUUGUGCCCUCUGCUGUUAUUGCUCCUGUGAACGGGCGCCAUAGAGGGGAGAAAUCCCGCGUCUGUGUAUGAGAGAAGCCCAUUCCUUAUGGUAAGGGACUAAUCCGAAAGAGUCCGAGUUGUUGGGAAAUGCGCAGGCUUCUAAGUGGGUGGUAAAUUCUCACUCUAAAAGCUAAAAUAUUGGCGAAAAGACCGAUAGCGAACCAGUCACGUGGAUGGGAAAGAUAGAAGACUCUGGAAGAGAGUGGAAAAGACCGUGAAUUUGUGAGGGAGGCCUGACACAACUGGGGUUCACAAUAUCUCCUCUGAGUGGCCUGAUUCCGGCCACUACUGUGAAAUUGCCUGAGGGUUCAUCGGAGGAAACUCGAUUCGCGGAACAGGCUCUCAAAGUCGCAGUAUACGCCCUUAAACACA
rnacentral:rRNA from 1 species